CCUACGGGGGGCAGCAGUGGGGAAUAUUGCGCAAUGGGCGAAAGCCUGACGCAGUGACGCCGCGUGAGGGAUGAAGGUCUUCGGAUCGUAAACCUCUGUCAGCAGGGAAGAACGGUCACUGUGCUAAUCAGUAGUGAAUUGACGGUACCUGCAAAGGAAGCACCGGCUAACUCCGUGCCAGCAGCCGCGGUAAUACGGAGGGUGCGAGCGUUAAUCGGAAUUACUGGGCGUAAAGCGCUCGUAGGCGGUAUGUCAAGUCAAGGGUGAAAUCCCCGCGCGCAACGUGGGAACUGCCUUUGAAACUGGGAAACUGGAGUGUGUGAGAGGAUAGUGGAAUUCCAGGUGUAGGAGUGAAAUCCGUAGAUAUCUGGAGGAACAUCAGUGGCGAAGGCGACUAGCUGGAACAUAACUGACGCUGAGGAGCGAAAGCGUGUGUAGCAAACAGGAUUAGAUACCCGAGUAGUC
rnacentral:rRNA from 1 species